rnacentral:tRNA from 1 species
AAAAUCCGUCGACUUUAGAAAUCGUGAGGGUUUAAGUCCCUUUAUCCCCCA